CUGCGUGUUUGAAUGUGUGCCUACAUUAACAGCUGCUCAUGGGGAAGCUGAACUGGUUCCUCUUAUACAAGAAUCCUUCUGCACACAGUGAUACAGUUCGGGAAGUGUAGAUCACAUUACCUACCUCGCAAAGGUGUGCUUCACCCACCGAGCGCCGUUAUUUUGAUAAUACCUUCAUUUGUCUAGCCUAGUCUAUGCUGAAAGCUCUUUAUGGGAUGGAAGACCCAUAUUUUGAAGAGAGGGUUAUCAGUUGGAUCCAAUUCACCAGUUCACUGCUACGAGUAGUAGUCAUCUUUUUAAUUUACACUUUCCUUUAAU